rnacentral:lncRNA from 1 species
UUCUUGAGUUUUACCCCACAAAGCAGUAUCAUGUUAACAAUUUGGAUGUUAUUGGUUCCUGGAUAAAUUAAUUCUUGAACUUGUUUUAUUGAAUUCUUAUAUCAUUGUCAUCAUCCUCAUGUUUAUAUUAUGUUGAAAGUCAUCUGUGGCAUGUAGUGCAUAGAUGGACUUGGUAUGAUUAUGACCAGGGAUUAUUCGGUGUAAUCAUGACNNN